UACGUAGGCAGCGAGCGUUGUUCGGAGUUACUGGGCGUAAAGAGUGCGUAGGCGGUUUUCUAAGUUUGGUGUGAAAUCUCCCGGCUUAACUGGGAGGGUGCGCCGAAAACUGGAAGGCUUGAGUAUGGGAGAGGUAAGCGGAAUUCCUGGUGUAGCGGUGAAAUGCGUAGAUAUCAGGAGGAACACCUGCGGUGUAGACGGCUUGCUGGACCAUAACUGACGCUGAGGCACGAAAGCGUGGGUAGCAAACAGG
rnacentral:rRNA from 1 species